UGGGGAUAUAGCUCAGUUUGGGAGAGCGACGCACUUGCACUGCGUAGGUCAGCGGUUCGAUCCCGCUUAUCUCCACCA
rnacentral:tRNA from 1 species